UACGAAGGGGGCUAGCGUUGCUCGGAAUCACUGGGCGUAAAGCGCACGUAGGCGGCUUCUUAAGUCAGGGGUGAAAUCCUGGAGCUCAACUCCAGAACUGCCUUUGAUACUGAGAGCUUGAGUUCGGGAGAGGUGAGUGGAACUGCGAGUGUAGAGGUGAAAUUCGUAGAUAUUCGCAAGAACACCAGUGGCGAAGGCGGCUCACUGGCCCGAUACUGACGCUGAGGUGCGAAAAGCGUGGGGAGCAAACAGG
rnacentral:rRNA from 1 species